GAAAUGAUCACGCGCACUUGACUGGAUCUUUUUUAUUUCUUCAUUGUUUGCUUGACGGAGUUUAGCAUUCACCACAAUCAACUGUUCGACAGACUGGACAGUCUCCCGUAAUUUGUCCUCCAACACCUUUAUGUGCAACUUCUUGACUUCAAUGGCACUGGUUAAACUAGAAACAAGUGUACAAUUCUUGCGAGAUUCUUCUUCCAUGAUACUAG
rnacentral:misc_RNA from 1 species